rnacentral:rRNA from 1 species
CUGCGAUAAGCGCCGGUAAGGUGAUAUGAACCGUUAUAACCGGCGAUACCCGAAUGGGGAAACCCAGUGUGACUCGUCACACUAUCAUUAACUGAAUCCAUAGGUUAAUGAGGCGAACCGGGGGAACUGAAACAUCUAAGUACCCCGAGGAAAAGAAAUCAACCGAGAUUCCCCCAGUAGCGGCGAGCGAACGGGGAGGAGCCCAGAGCCUGAAUCAGCAUGUGUGUUAGUGGAAGCGUCUGGAAAGGCGCGCGAUACAGGGUGACAGCCCCGUACACAAAAGCGCAUGUGCUGUGAGCUCGAUGAGUAGGGCGGGACACGUGGUAUCCUGUCUGAAUAUGGGGGGACCAUCCUCCAAGGCUAAAUACUCCUGACUGACCGAUAGUGAACCAGUACCGUGAGGGAAAGGCGAAAAGAACCCCGGCGAGGGGAGUGAAAAAGAACCUGAAACCGUGUACGUACAAGCAGUGGGAGCACCCUUUGGGUGUGACUGCGUACCUUUUGUAUAAUGGGUCAGCGACUUAUAUUCUGUAGCAAGGUUAACCGAAUAGGGGAGCCGGAGGGAAACCGAGUCUUAAUUGGGCGUUAAGUUGCAGGGUAUAGACCCGAAACCCGGUGAUCUAGCCAUGGGCAGGUUGAAGG